rnacentral:tRNA from 1 species
AGAAACAUGUCUAACAAAAGUUACUUUGAUAGUGUAAAUAAUAGAGGUUUAAAUCCUCUUAUUUCUA